rnacentral:tRNA from 1 species
GAUUCAUUAGCUCAGCCGGUAGAGCACCUGACUUUUAAUCAGGGUGUCCGGGGUUCGAAUCCCCGAUGGAUCACCA